UUAGAUAACCAAGGUCGGUUUCCUUCUCAAAACCAUCCAACCCUUUUGUUAUGUUUGUCGGUUAAUGAAACCAAAACCCAAGCCCCAUCUUUUCUCUUCCCUAUCAUUUCUUACACCCAAGAGGAAACCCUAAACUCCAAAACUGAAACCCCAACCCAUGAAAACCCAAAACCCUUAUCUCUCUCCUCCGUCGUUGCCUCGUAGAUUUCCCCUGCUUGCCAUAGCUUGUGCGUCCUUCCUCCGCAAGGCGUCUGUCGUCCAUUCCAGUUCUCCUUAUCGCGUGUUGUUGUUUGCGUUGUUGUUGCUGAUGUGUAUGCGGUAUUGUUGUGCUGUCGAUGCUGCUGCUACUCGCUAGUGUCGUUGUCGCCGGAGCCAAGAUGCAGCUACAACCCUACUUUUAUCUCUUCGAUUUCUCUCCACUAAUUCGUUCUGGUCGCUGCUGCAUCGAGACCCGGUGUUUGCCAUCCAGGUCGGUCCUUGUCGCCACUUCCGUGUGUCUGCUGCCAAUCUCGCCAGUGCUCGAUUGUAGCCUCACUGGAGGCCCAGCUCCCAUCCCCUGUUCUUCGUGGCUCUUGUGAGAAGAGGAAUCUAAAAGGGGAAAGUGGCCUCGUCUCAAUCGACGGAUGAGGUGACAUGAACAAUGCCCUAUGGACUGUGAACCUUGGGAGCCCAUAGGGAAACCUGCCCAUUGCUCUAUGGGGCGAAAAUGUGAAACCUGUGGAUGGUUGAUUGAAUCAGCGUAAAAAUGUACUCCGGACUAGUCGCGGUUAUUGGCCAAAAGUAAAGUGAAUGGUUGGGUGAAGACCCCCACUGUCGGAGUGUAAGCUAUGUCUCCUCCGCCGCGUUCUCUUUCGCCCUGGUUAAAAGAAAGUUAUCUCAAAUUGUGGUAAGUUGUUUUGAUAUUGGAUUCCCAAUAAGGAAUCAUAUCAGGUAAGUUAUGAAUGUUUAUUCAGUAUAUGAAUAUAAAUAUCGAUAUUGGUUUCCUGAUAUGGAGGCAUAUCAUGGUAAUUGAUACUCAUGUUAGACAUCCGAUAAGGAAUCGUAUCUUGUUAUGUGGAUUCCCAAUAAGGAAUCGUUAUAUUGAAAUUUGUUAUGAUAUAUAUUGCCUGAUAAGAGGUUGUUUAUAAAAAUAUAAGAAAGUGGUUGAUAGAGUAUAAAAGCUUAAGUUCGGAUUUCCGUUAAGAAAUCGACUAAAGGAAAUGAAGAAUAUUGUUUAUAUCAGAGUUGGUGACCUCAAAUUCCUACUAUGAAAUCGUGGUAAGUUGAAAGGUUGAUUAAAUGAGAAUAUAUGAAACAUGUCAUUGUUGGGAGUCACCUUACUGCAUUUGUUACUAUGUGAUUAAUGAUGUAUUAUGAAAUGUGGAAUUGGAAAUGUAAUAUGUAUGUUCAACAAGAAUAUUGCUGCUAAGCAUGCUAUGACGGAUAUGAUUGUUGAACUUAUAUUGAUUGUUGAGAGUCGUUUUCAAGUAAAAAACCACCAAAGCAUGUGAAUCUCUUGUUUAUGGGUUAGUACUCAGCUUUGCCGAUGUGUAUAUGUUGUUUUGUCAUUUCUGUGGCCUGUCACUUGGUGGGUGGCAGUUUCCUUAAAUGUUUCAGGUUGAAGCCGUAAGUUAACCUUUUGCAAGUUGAAGCUAAUACAAGCUGGAGUAGUAUUAUAGUUGUUAUCGAAGUGAGGACGCUUGACUUUGUAAUAAUUAGUCAUUUAGUAUUUAUAAUCUAUCUUUAUAUCUAAGAGUUGUUAGUGCUCCUGAUUCUCUGUUGGAUGUUGCUCCCCGAAAUCGUUGAGGUUGUAGAGUUUUGGAAGUAAUUUAUUAUUUGAAACUGUAACAGGUUUAAACUA